rnacentral:rRNA from 1 species
AACGAACGCUGGCGGCAUGCCUAACACAUGCAAGUCGAACGAGACCUUCGGGGCUAGUGGCGCACGGGUGCGUAACGCGUGGGAACCUGCCCUUAGGUUCGGAAUAACUCCCCGAAAGGGGUGCUAAUACCGGAUAAUGUCUUCGGACCAAAGAUUUAUCGCCUUUGGAUGGGCCCGCGUUGGAUUAGCUAGUUGGUAGGGUAAAGGCCUACCAAGGCGACGAUCCAUAGCUGGUCUGAGAGGAUGAUCAGCCACACUGGGACUGAGACACGGCCCAGACUCCUACGGGAGGCAGCAGUGGGGAAUAUUGGACAAUGGGCGAAAGCCUGAUCCAGCAAUGCCGCGUGAGUGAUGAAGGCCUUAGGGUUGUAAAGCUCUUUUACCCGGGAUGAUAAUGACGGUACCGGGAGAAUAAGCUCCGGCUAACUCCGUG